ensembl:lncRNA
AAAAGGACUGAUAAGAACGUGUCUCCACAAGGACAAGGCUUUAUGACUUCUAACACAACACUGCUGGGGCAUCUGGGAGACGGGAAUACUCAUUAAAUUCUCAGUUUGGUUCAGGGGAAUUCCUGAAGAAAAAUCUCGAAGAAAAAGGUUUUAGUACAUAAAAAGCAGAAACGGACAAUUAGACAAACAGCCCUUACCCGUCAAUGAUUGACCAGAGCGACUGAGCAGUUACUGCUUAGUCAUAGCCAAAUGGGACGGGUGGGGACGUGCCGGUCUCCAUGGAAACAGGACGUAGCAGCACCAGAUGGGGCAGAAGGGGGCAGUGUGGUGCAGGUGUUUGCUGCACAGGUAGAUGCUGCAGGUUAAGAAUCAGGUUUCACCAAACCUCUAUAACAUUUUGUCAUUGUGCUGUGACAUGAGGAUGAGCUACAGUUGGAGUUUUAUCAGCCU